GACGAACGCUGGCGGCGUGCCUAAUACAUGCAAGUCGAACGAAGCUGUUUUAACUGGUGCUUGCACCGACUUAAACAACUGAGUGGCGAACGGGUGAGUAACACGUGGGUAACCUGCCCCAAAGCGGGGGAUAACCUUUGGAAACAGAUGAUAAUACCGCAUAACCACAGAAACCACAUGGUCUCUGUUUCAAAGAUGGUUUAGGCUAUAACUUGGUGAUGGACACGAGGCGUAUUAGCUGGUUGGUAAGGUAAUGGCUUACAAAGGCAAUGAUACGUAGCCGAACUGAGAGGUUGAUCGGCCACAUUGGGACUGAGACACGGCCCAAACUCCUACGGGAGGCAGCAGUAGGGAAUCUUCCACAAUGGACGAAAGUCUGAUGGAGCAACGCCGCGUGAGUGAAGAAGGUUUUCGGAUCGUAAAACUCUGUUGUCAGAGAAGAACGUGUGCGAGAGUAACUGUUCGUGCAGUGACGGUAUCUGGCCAGAAAGCCACGGCUAACUACGUGCCAGCAGCCGCCGUAA
rnacentral:rRNA from 1 species